rnacentral:piRNA from 1 species
UAGCAUGAAGCUUGGGACCUUUCAAUUUGU